UGAAAAUUAUUCUUGGUACGAUCAAUACGGAAGUAGCCUACAUAAACAUUUCGCAAUUACUUGUACCAAAACAAAGGAAUUCCUUUUAAUUUGUAUUCAUAUUCCUCCUAAAAACAGUAUCAACCGAGAAGAAAAACAAUGGUCUGACUGAUAAUUAAUGCCUGUGGCUACGUCUCGGAUAAGAUCCGACGAUGCUGCUCAGGCAAAGCUGAUGAUGCAGAGGUGAAAGGGAUCAAGGAGAGAAAGUGUGUGUUGGCUGAUGGCAAGACUUCACACUAUGAUCACCAAGGUCCUGUUAUCUCUGCUGGUCACGAGAAAGCACCAAUUCCAAAUGGAGAUCCCCCACCAUAUCAAUAGACUGACAUUGAUUUCAUCACAAUAAAAUCUGUUUUAUCCAAGUGGCCUCUUAUAAAUUCAAUUUGACCUUGACAUUUAAAUUCAUUUUCAUUAUGAAGAGACAAAAGACAUUUUAUCUACUAAAAGGAUAUGUUGCGAUUAUUUUCUUCAGAGCAUUUUAAGUAGUUGUUUUGCAUUUUUUUUAACUUCAUUAUAAAAUAUUGAGCCAAACUUAUGUAGCUGUUUUCCUAUAUAUAUAUAUAUAUAUAUAUAUAUCAUAUUUCCAAUUUUGAGGAAUGAGCCAACGUCACAGGGCCUAAAUACAGAAAAUGCUUUUUCAAAUCUUAAUUAUUUGUCAACAUUUUGAUAUAUCAUUUAUCUGUUAUUUGUAAAUGAAGAAACUCUGUAUCUCAAACAGUUGUUACAUUUUGUGAAAUGAAUUUUUAUGGACAAUUAUCAUCUACACACCACUAAUCAUAUACACCAUUUUUAAGAAACUUGAUUUUAUCAUCUUGAACUACUCGACAUUGAAUAGGCAUGUUUUUUCAUUAGUUCUUUUCUAUUGUCUUUAGUAUGAUUAGUAAGUUUUCCCCAUGUUGUGUUGUUUUUAACGAAACAUCCUGUCAAUUUGGUUACUGCUUAGCUAAAGGCAAAUAUCCCAGAGUGAUUUUUCUUUUUUAUCUAAUAAAAACACAGUUUUUUCCAAUGUUAGGUGCAUUAGUUCCUUGACCAUAAUUGCUGCAUACUUUGUGAGGCCCUGAUUAGAACUUUUUGCAGAUUAACAUAUUUGAAAAAUAAUUAUUGGCAAGAUGCUGUGCCAAUUAAUUAAAGUAUAUCUGGAUAGUGGUUCAAAUAUUGACUUAAUAUUGUAUCAUUGGUGGGUGAAAUAUAGCUGAGCCAUGAGACUGUCUUAGUUCCUUGUAGCAACAGGGAUAUUUGGCUUUAACUUUUAAGUACUGUUCUGCCUUUUUGAUAUGACAAUAUAAUAACUGAUGAAGAAGCAUCCAGGAUUGUGAAAUAAUUUUAUGUGUAUCAUUGAAAAACAAUCCUUUAUUUAACGCAUUUUUAUUCUAAGUACCAUCAUGUCCUUAAAUAUGACAUUACAUGUAGUUCUGAAAUCAUGAGGAUUAUUUGUAUUUAUAUAUGCAACACUCUUGACAGAAUACCUCUUUGAAAUACAUCGACCAUCUUUUUAGGGGUUGGUAUUCCAAUAGUCAUCUUAAUACUGUGAUAGGCCUUUGAAAGUUUCAUCCUAAUAGUUAUAGUAUUACAUUAAGAUAAAAAUAAAUGAAUUCCUUAUAAUUUUAAGGAUUAGGGUACAAUUGUAUAUUGAAAUUUUCUUGUUAGCCAAUA